AUGUCUCUCUGAAUUUCUUUCUUAUUCGAUUGAGAUCUCAAACUGUUAUAUGGAACAUUAUGCUCAUUAUGCUUGUAUAUUUAUGUGUUUGUUUGUUAUUGAUUGAGAUCUGAAACAGUUGUGUUUCUCUGUGAGGUUUUAAUAUGUAUACUUGUUCCUCAGAUGCCAUUAUUAUUUGCUUUACAUGUGGAUUAAUUAAUAACCAUGUUUAUAUGUGUGUAAGAACUAAAAAUAUAAUAAAACUGAAUGGAAAAAAGAUAAUUCAUAUAGUAGACGCUUUAUAUAACAUUGUUGAUGAUGAGAUUAUUUUAUUCCACUGUUGUUUUCUUCUUCUUCAUCAUUCUUUAUUCUUUCCAAAUAUUAUUAUUAAUAUUUCAAUGCUCAGGGAUAUACAUUAUAAAUCUUGGAAGAACAUGGGAGAAGCUUCAGAUGGCAGCCAGGUUUAUUGUUGCGAUUGAAAACCCGCAGGACAUCAUUGUUCAAUCUACUAGGCCAUAUGGUCAGAUAGCGGUUUUGAAGUUUGUGCAGUACAUGCUGGGCGACAUACUCCCGGAACAUUUCACUAAUCAGCUUCAAACUUCAUUCAGAAAGCCUCGCCUCCUCAUCCUCACUGAUCCAAGGAUUGAUCGCCAAGUUAAUACUUCUUUCAAUUGUUUACUCUCAACCUAUCAAGGAAGCUGCACUUGGAAACAUUCCAACUAUCGCUUUCUGUGACACUGAUUCCUCAAUGCGAUAUGUUGAUAUUGAUAUCCCUGCAAAUAACAAGGGAAAACAUAGCAUUGGCUGUCUAUUCUGGCUCUUGGCGAGGAUGGUUUUCGCAGAUGCGCAACACAAUCCCUCAGGGGCACGAGUGGGACGUCAUGGUAAACAUUAUCAGGAAGAAGGUUGAUUUAUUUUCCUACAGGGAGCCCGAGGAAUCAAAGGAGCAAGCUGAAGAGUAAGCACCUGCAGCAGGAGAUUACACUGCUCCAGGAAUUCCUAGUGCAGGUGAUCUGUGGCCUAGCCAAAUUUGUGAAGGCCAGUGGGUCUCUGACGUGGUCCCGAGUGCCAAUGCAUGUGAUUUUGCUGAAGGUGAUUACGGAGUUUUUUGAAUAUGAUUCUACUGAAUGUGAUUCUGUGCAAGGUGAUUACAGAGAUUACAGUGCACCUGCAAGCCACUGGCCUAGCGAAAUUGCUGAAGGUGAUUUUCUGUUGGCCGACGCGGUCCAGCUAAUGGCUAAUGGUUCGGAUUCUACAGCUGCACCUCCACGAAACAAUUCCGGGUCCCUGAAUGAAUACUGUUCCCGCUGCUGCUGCUCAAAACGAAUGGGUAUAGGACCUUGACCUCCAACUCUAUUCCUGAAUGAGAUUAUCUUUGAACUUGGAAAAGGGAUUUUGUAAGGAUUUUGUUUUUGGAGAAAAAAAGUUAAGGUGUAGUUUAUGUUUAGUUUGAAAAUUUUCUUUGAACUUGGAAAAGGGAUUUUGUAAGGAUUUUGUUUUUGGAGAAAAAAAGUUAAGGUGUAGUUUAUGUUUAGUUUGAAAAUUUUGAUUGUUGGGUUCCUAGAAAAUAUGGAUUGGUUGUUUAACAUUUAUAUUGUCAUUUUCUUGUGGUUUUCUUUCCAUCCCGUUGAUGUACUUUCUUCUAUUAAAAGUGGCAAGAAAUUGUCGGUUUUUGUUACUAUUCCUUUUAUCUAAUGA